AUUGAACGCUGGCGGCCGGCCUAACACAUGCAAGUCGAGCGAGCGGCGGACGGGUGAGUAAUGUCUGGGAAACUGCCUGAUGGCGGGGGAUAACUACUGGAAACGGUAGCUAAUACCGCAUAACCUCAGAUGUGCCCAGAUGUGAUUAGCUAGUAGGUGGGGUAACGGCUCACCUAGGCGACGAUCCCUAGCUGGUAUGAGAGGAUGACCAGCCACACUGGAACGGAGACACGGUCCUUACUCCUACGGGAGGCAGCAGUGGGGAAUAUUGCACAAUGUGCGCAAGCCUGAUGCAGCCAUGCCGCGUGUGUGAAGAAGGCCUUCGGGUUGUAAAGCACUUUCAGCGGGGAGGCGUUACCCGCAGAAGAAGCACCGGCUAACUCCGUGCCAGCAGCCGCGGUAAUUC
rnacentral:rRNA from 1 species